rnacentral:rRNA from 1 species
UACGGAGGGUGCAAGCGUUAUCCGGAUUCACUGGGUUUAAAGGGUGCGUAGGUGGGUUGGUAAGUCAGUGGUGAAAUCCCCGAGCUUAACUCGGGAACUGCCAUUGAUACUAUCAGUCUUGAAUACCGUGGAGGUCAGCAGAAUAUGUCAUGUAGCGGUGAAAUGCUUAGAUAUGACAUAGAAUACCAAUUGCGAAGGCAGCUGGCUACCCGAAUAUUGACACUGAGGCACGAAAGCGUGGGGAUCAAACAGG